AACGAACGCUGGCGGCGUGGAUAAGACAUGCAAGUCGAACGGGAACUUCAGCUGUAGCAAUACAGUUGAAGUUUUAGUGGCGAACGGGUGCGUAACACGUGGGCAAUCUGCCGAGAAGUGGGGAUAGCUCGCCGAAAGGCGAAUUAAUACCGCAUAUGAUCAGCUAAGACAUCUUAGCGACAUCAAAGCCGGGGCAACCUGGCGCUUUUUGAGGAGCCCGCGGCCUAUCAGCUAGUUGGUGAGGUAACGGCUCACCAAGGCUAUGACGGGUAGCUGGUCUGAGAGGACGACCAGUCACACUGGAACUGAGACACGGUCCAGACACCUACGGGUGCAGCAGUCGAGAAUUUUUCUCAAUGGGGCAACCCUGAAGGAGCGACGCCGCGUGGAGGAUGAAGG
rnacentral:rRNA from 1 species